AUUGAACGCUGGCGGCAGGCUUAACACAUGCAAGUCGAGCGGAUGAAGUGGGCUUGCUGCUGGAUUCAGCGGCGUACGGGUUAGUAAUGCCUAGGACUCUGUCUGGUAGUCGCGGAUAACGUCCGGAAACGGGCGCUAAUACCGCCUACGCCUUGAGGGCGAAAGAGGGGGUUCUUCGGUCGUGACGCGAUCACAUUAGCCUAGGUCGGAGUAGCUAGUUGGUGGGGUAAUGGCCUACCAAGGCGACGAUCCGGAACUGGUCUGAGGGGAUGAGCAGUGACACUGGAAGUGAGCAACGGUACAGACACAUACGGGAGGCAGCAGUGGGGGAUAUUAGACAAUGGGCGUAAGCCUGAUCCGACCAUGCCGCGGGUCUGCAGAAGGUCUUCGAAUUGUAAAGCCCUUUCAGAUGGGUGGAAGGGCAGUAAGUUAAAACCUGGCUGUUUAGACGUUAACCACAGAAUAAGCACCGGCUAACUUCGUG
rnacentral:rRNA from 1 species